AUAUGGGUGCCAGAGUUAGUAUGGGUUGGUUUUAAGCACCAAACAGGGGCUAUUGCCCCCCGUAUA
rnacentral:tRNA from 1 species